CCUACGGGUGGCAGCAGUGGGGAAUAUUGGACAAUGGGGGGAACCCUGAUCCAGCCAUGCCGCGUGUGUGAAGAAGGCCCUCGGGUUGUAAAGCACUUUCAGUGAGGAAGAACGCCUGGUGGUUAAUACCCAUCAGGAAGGACAUCACUCACAGAAGAAGCACCGGCUAACUCCGUGCCAGCAGCCGCGGUAAUACGGAGGGUGCGAGCGUUAAUCGGAAUUACUGGGCGUAAAGCGCGCGUAGGUGGCUUGAUAAGCCGGUUGUGAAAGCCCCGGGCUCAACCUGGGAACGGCAUCCGGAACUGUCAAGCUAGAGUGCAGGAGAGGAAGGUAGAAUUCCCGGUGUAGCGGUGAAAUGCGUAGAGAUCGGGAGGAAUACCAGUGGCGAAGGCGGCCUUCUGGACUGACACUGACACUGAGGUGCGAAAGCGUGGGUAGCAAACAGGAUUAGAUACCCUUGUAGUC
rnacentral:rRNA from 1 species